UACGUAGGGUGCAAGCGUUAAUCGGAAUUACUGGGCGUAAAGAGCGUGUAGGCGGCUUCACAGGUCUGCUGUGAAAACUCGAGGCUCAACCUCGAGCUGUCGGUGGAAACCGUGGGGCUAGAGUCCGGAAGAGGAGAGUGGAAUUCCCGGUGUAGCGGUGAAAUGCGCAGAUAUCGGGAAGAACACCCGUGGCGAAGGCGGCUCUCUGGGACGGUACUGACGCUGAGACGCGAAAAGCGUGGGGAGCAAACAGGG
rnacentral:rRNA from 1 species